rnacentral:rRNA from 1 species
CUGUGAGCUCGAUGAGUAGGGCGGGACACGUGGUAUCCUGUCUGAAUAUGGGGGGACCAUCCUCCAAGGCUAAAUACUCCUGACUGACCGAUAGUGAACCAGUACCGUGAGGGAAAGGCGAAAAGAACCCCGGCGAGGGGAGUGAAAAAGAACCUGAAACCGUGUACGUACAAGCAGUGGGAGCCUCUUUUAUGGGGUGACUGCGUACCUUUUGUAUAAUGGGUCAGCGACUUAUAUUCUGUAGCAAGGUUAACCGAAUAGGGGAGCCGAAGGGAAACCGAGUCUUAACUGGGCGUUAAGUUGCAGGGUAUAGACCCGAAACCCGGUGAUCUAGCCAUGGGCAGGUUGAAGGUUGGGUAACACUAACUGGAGGACCGAACCGACUAAUGUUGAAAAAUUAGCGGAUGACUUGUGGCUGGGGGUGAAAGGCCAAUCAAACCGGGAGAUAGCUGGUUCUCCCCGAAAGCUAUUUAGGUAGCGCCUCGUGAAUUCAUCUCCGGGGGUAGAGCACUGUUUCGGCAAGGGGGUCAUCCCGACUUACCAACCCGAUGCAAACUGCGAAUACCGGAGAAUGUUAUCACGGGAGACACACGGCGGGUGCUAACGUCCGUCGUGAAGAGGGAAACAACCCAGACCGCCAGCUAAGGUCCCAAAGUCAUGGUUAAGUGGGAAACGAUGUGGGAAGGCCCAGACAGCCAGGAUGUUGGCUUAGAAGCAGCCAUCAUUUAAAGAAAGCGUAAUAGCUCACUGGUCGAGUCGGCCUGCGCGGAAGAUGUAACGGGGCUAAACCAUGCACCGAAGCUGCGGCAGCGACGCUUAUGCGUUGUUGGGUAGGGGAGCGUUCUGUAAGCCUGUGAAGGUGUGCUGUGAGGCAUGCUGGAGGUAUCAGAAGUGCGAAUGCUGACAUAAGUAACGAUAAAGCGGGUGAAAAGCCCGCUCGCCGGAAGACCAAGGGUUCCUGUCCAACGUUAAUCGGGGCAGGGUGAGUCGACCCCUAAGGCGAGGCCGAAAGGCGUAGUCGAUGGGAAACAGGUUAAUAUUCCUGUACUUGGUGUUACUGCGAAGGGGGGACGGAGAAGGCUAUGUUGGCCGGGCGACGGUUGUCCCGGUUUAAGCGUGUAGGCUGGUUUUCCAGGCAAAUCCGGAAAAUCAAGGCUGAGGCGUGAUGACGAGGCACUACGGUGCUGAAGCAACAAAUGCCCUGCUUCCAGGAAAAGCCUCUAAGCAUCAGGUAACAUCAAAUCGUACCCCAAACCGACACAGGUGGUCAGGUAGAGAAUACCAAGGCGCUUGAGAGAACUCGGGUGAAGGAACUAGGCAAAAUGGUGCCGUAACUUCGGGAGAAGGCACGCUGAUAUGUAGGUGAAGCGACUUGCUCGUGGAGCUGAAAUCAGUCGAAGAUACCAGCUGGCUGCAACUGUUUAUUAAAAACACAGCACUGUGCAAACACGAAAGUGGACGUAUACGGUGUGACGCCUGCCCGGUGCCGGAAGGUUAAUUGAUGGGGUUAGCGGUAACGCGAAGCUCUUGAUCGAAGCCCCGGUAAACGGCGGCCGUAACUAUAACGGUCCUAAGGUAGCGAAAUUCCUUGUCGGGUAAGUUCCGACCUGCACGAAUGGCGUAAUGAUGGCCAGGCUGUCUCCACCCGAGACUCAGUGAAAUUGAACUCGCUGUGAAGAUGCAGUGUACCCGCGGCAAGACGGAAAGACCCCGUGAACCUUUACUAUAGCUUGACACUGAACAUUGAGCCUUGAUGUGUAGGAUAGGUGGGAGGCUUUGAAGUGUGGACGCCAGUCUGCAUGGAGCCGGCCUUGAAAUACCACCCUUUAAUGUUUGAUGUUCUAACGUUGGCCCCUGAUCGGGGUUGCGGACAGUGUCUGGUGGGUAGUUUGACUGGGGCGGUCUCCUCCUAAAGAGUAACGGAGGAGCACGAAGGUUGGCUAAUCCUGGUCGGACAUCAGGAGGUUAGUGCAAUGGCAUAAGCCAGCUUGACUGCGAGCGUGACGGCGCGAGCAGGUGCGAAAGCAGGUCAUAGUGAUCCGGUGGUUCUGAAUGGAAGGGCCAUCGCUCAACGGAUAAAAGGUACUCCGGGGAUAACAGGCUGAUACCGCCCAAGAGUUCAUAUCGACGGCGGUGUUUGGCACCUCGAUGUCGGCUCAUCACAUCCUGGGGCUGAAGUAGGUCCCAAGGGUAUGGCUGUUCGCCAUUUAAAGUGGUACGCGAGCUGGGUUUAGAACGUCGUGAGACAGUUCGGUCCCUAUCUGCCGUGGGCGCUGGAGAACUGAGGGGGGCUGCUCCUAGUACGAGAGGACCGGAGUGGACGCAUCACUGGUGUUCGGGUUGUCAUGCCAAUGGCACUGCCCGGUAGCUAAAUGCG